UACAUAGAUAUGUAUGGCGCGGGGCACCGUAUUCAUAGUCAAAAUAAAGUCCACACUUAAGUUAGUUUGAGCUUUUUGGCAUAACUUUCAAUGGAAUAUCUG